rnacentral:lncRNA from 1 species
GGCAGUGUGUUGUGGGGCGCAGGUGGGAACUGAGUGUGUCCCUCAUAAGCUUUCUCUUUUCUGUUAGCAGAUUUUCCGCCCACCCGGAGACACCAGAACAGCUGGGUUCAGCGCUGAAGUAUCAGUCCAGUCUUGACAGUGACAACAUGCCAGGGUUCGGAGCGACCGUGGCCAUCGGCCUGACCGUCUUCGUGGUGUUUAUCGCUACCAUCAUUGUGUGCUUUACCUGCUCCUGCUGCUGUCUAUAUAAGAUGUGCUGCCGCCCACGACCUGUCGUGUCCAACACCACAACUACUACCGUGGUUCACACCGCUUACCCUCAGCCUCAACCUGUGGCCCCCAGCUAUCCUGGACCAACAUACCAGGGCUACCAUCCCAUGCCCCCCCAGCCAGGAAUGCCAGCAGCACCC